rnacentral:rRNA from 1 species
CCAUAUGCUUGUCUCAAAGAUUAAGCCAUGCAGGUCUCAGUACGGCCUCCAGCGAAAAGGCGAAACCGCGAAUGGCUCAUUAAAUCAGUUAUGGUUCCUUAGAGACGUAUCCGUACUUGUGGAUAACCGUGGUAAUUCUAGAGCUAAUACAUGCAAACGAAGCUCCAGCCCCGUGCGGCGGAAGCGCCCCUCAACCGGGGCGUCACGCCGCGGGGACGAGCGCUUUUAUUAGACCGCAACGACCGCAUCCUUCCUCCGUCCCUCUCGCGGGGGGCGGGGGACGUGUUGCGUGGUGACUCUGGAUAACCUGGCAGAUCGGCCGGUGGCCCCCUCGGCGGGGGUCGUCACAAGCCGGCCGACGCAACUUUCAAGUGUCUGACUUAUCAACUUUCGACGGCGAGUUAAACGCCAGCCGUGGUGACGACGGGUGACGGGGAAUCAGGGUUCGAUUCCGGAGAGGAAGCCUGAGAAACGGCUACCACAUCCAAGGAAGGCAGCAGGCUCGCAAAUUACCCACUCCCGGCACGGGGAGGUAGUGACGAAAAAUAACGAUGCGGGACUCGGUCGAGACCCCGCCAUCGGAAUGAGUGGACUGUAAAGCGUUCGCACGAGGAACGACCGGAGGGCAAGUCUGGUGCCAGCCGCUGCGGUAAUUCCAGCUCCGGUAGCAUAUGCUAAAGUUGCUGCGGUUAAAAAGCUCGUAGUUGGAUCUCAGUCUCGGCCGUCCGGUCCCGCCCGCGUCGGCGGGACGCGUUGGCGCCUGCCGGUCAUAACUGUCGGCCGCCCGGGAUGAUCUUGACCGGUUGUCUCGGAACGGUCCGGCGAGUUUACCUUGAAAAAAUCAGAGUGCUCAGAGCGCGGCGUUAAAGAAGCCGCCCGUACGUCGUUGCAUGGAAUAAUGGAAGAAGACCUCGGUUCGAAUGUUUUUCUCAGCGGCUCGGACCCCUGAGGUAAUGGUGAACGGGAGCGGCCGGGGGCGAUCGUAUCGCGACGCUAGAGGUGAAAUUCUUGGACCGUCGCGAGACGAACUACAGCGAAAGCAUUCGUCAAGAGCGCUUCCGUCAGUCAAGAACGAAAGUCAGAGGUUCGAAGGCGAUCAGAUACCGCCCUAGUUUUGACCGUAAACGGUGCCGACCAGCGAUCGGGCUGCGCUCGCCACGACGAGGCGCCCGGAAGCUUACCGGGAAACCAGAGUUUCUGGGUUCCGGGGGAAGUAUGGUUGCAAAGCUGAAACUUAAAGGAAUUGACGGAAGGGCACCACCAGGAGUGGAGCCUGCGGCUUAAUUUGACUCAACACGGGAAAACUCACCCGGCCCGGACACGGGAAGGAUUGACAGACUGAACGAACUUUCUUGAUUCUGUGGGUGGUGGUGCAUGGCCGUUCUUAGUUGGUGGAGCGAUUUGUCUGGUUGAUUCCGAUAACGAACGAGACCCUGGCCUAUUAAAUAGUCUCCGUCUUAUGCUCCCCCGGGUCGUCGCCGUUCCGGCGUCUCUCUCCGGUCCGUGCGUUCUCCCCCUUCGCGGGGGGAGUUCCGCGGUCGGCUGGGUUGCGCUCGCGGUGGCGAUCGGCGGCGGGGGGCGAGCGGGGUGAUAAAAGAACUCUUCUUAGAGGGACCAGCGACGCAUUAAAGUCGCGCGAAGUGGGGCGAUAACAGGUCUGUGAUGCCCUUAGAUGUCCGGGGCCGCACGCGCGCUACACUGACGCCCCCAGCGAGCGCGCCGGCCCGGUCCGAAGGGACCGGGGAACCCCGUGAACGGACGUCGUGAUGGGGACAGGGGAUUGUAAUUUUUCCCCUCGAACGAGGAAUUCCAAGUAAGCGCGAGUCACCAGCUCGCUUUGAUUACGUCCCUGCCCUUUGUACACACCGCCCGUCGCUACUCCCGAUCGAACGUUGAGGUGAGGUCGUCGGACUGGAGCCUCCCGAGAAGGACCCUGCGUUCGCGCAUUCCCGAUCGGGGCUUCGGAAAGUCGGUCGAACCCUAUCGUUUAGAGGUAGUAAAAGUCGUAACAAGGUUUCC